ACAAAACGCAGCAAGGUCAUCUUUCAAGUAUAAUUUUCAAUUCGGCAUUUCAUCGAACGCCAAAUGGGCACAAAAAAACUUAGCAAAUCUCUGCUCAAUUGGGGUUAUAAUCAGCCCAAGAUUAUCAGCAAACCAAGGAGAUUCAAUUUAACACAUAAGGCAUUUGCAGUCAAAGAUUAUCGGAAAUCACUGAAAUGUGCGAUGAAUCAAUUUCACAAAACAUGCUUCGGGAUUUUCCAAUGUUUAUGCUUGAAUAGAGAACUGAAAUUUGAAGCGGGAAGACGACUUACAAUUUAUUUCUUGGCGAAAAUCCUCCCGCGAUGAUGCCAGAUUCGAUGAGGUGGUGGUGGCUAUGAGCGGCGGCGGCUCUGGUUCUUGCCCCCAUCUUCCGCUGUUUCUCUGAUUCCUUGCCCAUAAUUCCUUUCCUCCUCUAUUUCUCUUUUUGCUUUUCCUUUCUUGCUCUGUUUCCUAUUUCAGAUCCCAAUUCCUCUGUUUUCCGGUCGUCUCCUCUGUUUUUCUCGGUUCCUUUCAUCCGCCCAGAGCCCUCUGUUUCUUGUUCUUUUGUUCCGCCCAGUUUCUUCUUUUUUUUUCUCUGAUUU
rnacentral:lncRNA from 1 species